rnacentral:rRNA from 1 species
AACGAACGCUGGCGGCAUGCCUAACACAUGCAAGUCGAACGAGACCUUCGGGUCUGGUGGCGCACGGGUGCGUAACGCGUGGGAAUCUGCCCUUGGGUUCGGAAUAACAGUUAGAAAUGACUGCUAAUACCGAAUGAUGUCUUCGGACCAAAGAUUUAUCGCCCAGGGAUGAGCCCGCGUCGGAUUAGCUAGUUGGUGAGGUAAAGGCUCACCAAGGCGACGAUCCGUAGCUGGUCUGAGAGGAUGAUCAGCCACACUGGGAGUGAGACACGGCCCAGACUCGUACGGGAGGCAGCAGUGGGGAAUAUUGGACAAUGGGCGAAAGCCUGAUCCAGCAAUGCCGCGUGAGUGAUGAAGGCCUUAGGGUUGUAAAGCUCUUUUACCCGGGAUGAUAAUGACAGUACCGGGAGAAUAAGCCCCGGCUAACUCCGUGCCAGCAGCCGCCGUAAUAC